rnacentral:rRNA from 1 species
GAUGAACGCUGGCGGCGUGCCUAAUACAUGCAAGUCGAACGAAAAGACGAGGAGCUUGCUCCUCUGACGUUAGCGGCGGGCGGGGGUGUAACAUGUGGAUAACCCACCUAUAUGACUGGGAUAACCUCGGGAAACCGGAGCUUAUACCGGAAAAUAUCCUGCAGCGCAUGGUUCGAUAGUGAAAGACGGCUUUGCUGUCACUUAUCGAUGGUUCCGCGCCGCAUUAGCUAGUUGGUUAGGUAACGGCUUACCAAGGCGACGAUGCGUAGCCGACCUGAGAGGGUGAUCGGCCACACUGGAACUGAGACACGGUCCAGACUCCUACGGGAGGCAGCAGUAGGGAAUAUUCGGCAAUGGGCGAAAGCCUGACGCAGCAACGCCGCGUGAGUGAAGAAGGCCUUCGGAUCGUAAAGCUCUGUUAUUAGGGAAGAACAAAUUUGGAAGUAAACACUGAGGGCUUGACGGUACCUAAUCAAAAAGCCACGGCUAACUACGUG